rnacentral:lncRNA from 1 species
GUAUACUAAUAGGACACAUCAGACCCAGUAGUACACAAUAGACUCAUUUUAAAGGGGAGCCACAAAAAGGCUAUACAAAGAUGUCGAAAUCCUACAGCUGAUGAGCAGUCCUGUUUUUCCUGGAUCCUUGCUCUUGAAGACAGAGACCAAAACUGAGUAACCCAAUGGAUAUAUUUCAUCUUUCAUUCCUUCCAAGGAGUAGGGAAUUAAUUUAUGUCCUUAUACGAUGAAUGAUUGCUUCUUAAUAAGGAAGAAUUAAAGGAUUAAUUAAAGAAAAUUAUUUCUUAAUAAGUUAUCUACUCUGUGUGUCUUGUGGGUUAAAAGAGGAGAGAAAAGUCAGAAGAUGUUGAAGUCUGAAGAUACUCCAGCAGUUCUUACCCUCUUCACUCUGCUGUACCAUCCCCUGCCCUGACUCCAGCUAAAACUGAUUUUUUGUGUGAAAGGAGUAUUUUAGACUGUAGAUGUGCCCUGAAAUGCCUCAUCUCAGGGAGGGUGAGAAGAGCUUCUCUUAAGCAAGUGUGGUGUCUGCUUCUGGUGCUGUUUAUGGCAGAGCUGGAAACUGUCUUCGAAAUUAACAAUAGAUGUGCAUAAAUCUUCUUCAGUUACCUAGCAACUAAUACAAGACAACGCAGAGGUUCACAGGCUGGGUGGAGGUAAGCCUGUUUUAGGAAU